rnacentral:rRNA from 1 species
CCCUUAGAUGUUCUGGGCCGCACGCGCGCUACACUGACGAAUGCAACGAGCUUAUAACCUUGGCCGAAAGGUUUGGGUAAUCUCCAAAUUUCGUCGUGAUGGGGAUAGAUUAUUGCAAUUAUUAAUCUUCAACGAGGAAUGCCUAGUAAGCGCAAGUCAUCAGCUUGCGUUGAUUACGUCCCUGCCCUUUGUACACACCGCCCGUCGCACCUACCGAUUGAAUGGUCCGGUGAAGCCUCCGGAUUGGCGCGCACCUCGGUGCCGCCGAGAAGUUGGCUAAACCUUACCAUUUAGAGGAAGGUGAAGUCGUAACA